AAAAAUGAAAGAAUCCCGGGGGUGUGUGUGUGUGUGUGGGGAAAGGAGUUGGGACGCGCCCCUCCCUGCAUUUUGAAGAGGGAGCGCGCCUCCACUCCCGCUCGUCCCAUCGCUUUCAAUGGAGUUCGGGGGGAGGCGAGCCUUUGCUUUUUCCUCGCCUUCCGUCAUUAUUCCGCCCCCCCCCAAUGACCUCCGCUCCAAACCAGGACGUGCUUCGAUCCCAACCACUUCCCUUCACUGAUACUUGGGGGAGGUUAAACAAAAGGGGGGGGGAAACAGUCCCUCCGGCUUAAGCCCCCCUCCCCCAGCUCCGUCUAAGCAGCUAGUUAACCAGCCUCAACCGGGCCAUAUAUCUCCUAGGAGAGACGCAUUCCUUUUCCUUCUCGCCGCUCUCUUCCCUUCCCACCCACAAAAAAAGCACACCGCAUUAGAAGAGGAGGCGGGAGAACGGGCAUUGUGCCGGCGAGUGGGUGGGUAGGCGCCACGCACGACUUUUGGGUGCGUGCCAUUCAUGAGCAUUACGGCACCCAUUCCUGGGCUCCUUUUGCCUGGGUUUCUCCGGAGGCGGCGGCGGCGAGAAAGGCGAGAAGCGCCCUCUUUCUCUUUCUCCCUGCCCCCCCCAACCCGGCCCGCUUUGGCUUCUCGAUCCUGAGGAGCAGCCAUGGCCGAGCGCCGCGCCUUCGCCCAGAAGAUCAGCAGUCAUGUCAGCACUGUCCUAAGCAGUGUGGCGAAAGCAGCUGAAUACUGAAGGUGCGUUCUAUUGUGCGAAAUACGUUCCAUCGGAAUCAAAGGGAUUCCCGUUUAAAUCCAUCUAUGCUUGGAGCAACUCCUGGAAACUAGAAAACGACCACUGAUCUUUGAAGUCCGGAGGUUACAGGCUACAGUCUUAGCUAUAUGUAUCAGAAAGUAAGUCUCACUGAAAUCAAUGGGACAUCCUUCUGAGUAUAAAUUAAUACGAUUGUUUCAGCAGAGACUUCUCCCUUUACCCACCAAUUAAUUUAAAGAAUGGGUUCUGUUUGGCAGAGCAUUGAGCAGAUUGAUCAGAUGCCCUGGACUGUGCCCUUUGUACUUUUUCUCAAGUAGUGGUCACAUCACUGUGACCCAGCACUGGCCUGUUCAAUUGUUGCU
rnacentral:lncRNA from 1 species